AUGACAGAGCUGUUAACUGCCAUAAGUGAGGUCCUCAACUUUGAGAAGCCCCAUGUAAUCUCUUUGCUUUGUCUGCAGUGGGCUCGGGAUGAGUUUGAAGGUCUCUUCAGGCAGCCAGCAGAAAAUGUCAACCAGUAUCUCACAGACUCCAAGUUUGUGGAACGGACGCUGCGCCUGGCAGGCACCCAACCCCUGGAGAUGCUGGAGGCUGUGCAGCAUAGCCUGGUACUACAGCACCCACAGACCUGGGCUGACUGUGUGACUUGGGCUUACCACCACUGUCACACUCAGUACUCCAACAACAUUUGCCAGCUUUUGCGCAACUUUCCACCUGACCAGCUUACAAGCUCUGGCGCCCUAUUCUGGUCUGGGCCCAAACGCUGUCCACACCCACUCAUCCUUGAUGUCAACAAUCCCCUGCAUCUGGAUUAUGUGAUGGCUGCUGCCAACCUCUUUGCCCAGACCUAUGGGCUGAUGGGGUCUCAGGACCGAGCUGCUAUGGCCAUACUUCUACAGUCUGUCCAUGUCCCUGAAUUCACCCCCAAGUCUGGUGUCAAGAUCCAUGUCUCUGACCGGGAGCUUCAGAACACCAGUGCCUCUGUUGAUGAUAGCCGCCUACAGGAGCUCAAAGCCGUGCUUCCCAGCCCAGAGAAGCUCGCUGGGUUCAAGAUGUACCCUAUCAGCUUUGAGAAGGAUGAUAACACCAACUUUCAUAUGGAUUUCAUUGUGGCUGCAUCCAACCUCCGAGCAGAAAACUAUAACAUUCCCCCUGCAGAUCGGCAGAAGAGCAAGCUGAUUGCAGGGAAGAUCAUCCCUGCCAUUGCCACAACCACGGCAGCAAUAGUUGGCCUCAUGUGUCUGGAGCUGUACAAAGUGGUGCAGGGACUCCGGCCACUUGAAUCUGAUAAGAACAGCUUUAUGAACUUCUUCAGCUUCUCUGAACCCCUUGUCCCACCCUGUCACCAGGGCUAUAACCAAGAGUGGACAUUGUGGGAUCGCUUUGACGUACAGGAGCUACAGCCUAAUGGUGAAGAGAUGACUCUCAAACAGUUCCGUAACUACUUUAAGACAGAGCACAAAUUAGAGAUUACCAUGCUGCCCCAAGGUGUAUCCUUGCUGUACUCCUUCUUCAUGCCAGCUACCAAACUCAGGGAACAGUUGGAUCUGCUGAUGACAGAAAUUGUGAGCCCAGCCGAAAGCUGGGCCACCAAGUGCGGGCACUGGUGCUUGAGCUGUGCUGCAAUGAUGAGACUGGCGAGGAUGUUGAGGUUCCCUAUGUACGAUACACCAUCCGCUGA